rfam:Daphnia magna strain Xinb3 scaffold01581, whole genome shotgun sequence.
CAAACGGCCCUUUUUAGGGCCACCAAAUGUUAGCUGAAACGUGAAU